rnacentral:rRNA from 1 species
CCUACGGGUGGCAGCAGUGAGGAAUAUUGGUCAAUGGGCGCGAGCCUGAACCAGCCAAGUCGCGUGAGGGAAGACGGUCCUAUGGAUUGUCAACCUCUUUUGUCGGGGAGCAAAAGCCGCCACGCGUGGCGUUCCGAGAGUACCCGAAGAAAAAGCAUCGGCUAACUCCGUGCCAGCAGCCGCGGUAAUACGGAGGAUGCGAGCGUUAUCCGGAUUUAGUGGGUUUAAAGGGUUCGGAGGCGGAAGAUGAAGUCAGCGGUAAAAAUGAGAGGCACAACCUCUUCGAGCCGUUGAAAAUGGUUGUCUUGAGUGAGCGAGAAGUAUGCGGAAUGCGUGGUGUAGCGGUGAAAUGCAUAGAUAUCACGCAGAACCCCGAUUGCGAAGGCAGCAUACCGGCGCUCAACUGACGCUGAUGCACGAAAGUGUGGGUAUCGAACAGGAUUAGAUACCCUGGUAGUC